ensembl:snRNA U6 U6 spliceosomal RNA
GUGCUCAUUUUAGCACACGAAUACUAAAUUUGGAACACUAUGGAAAAGGUUAGCACAGCUCUUGCAAAAGGAUGACAGGCAAAUUCAAGGAAGCAUUCCAUGCUGGG